ensembl:lncRNA
GCACCGCUCCCUUCGCACCCCGGUUAGCCAAUCCGCUCCAGGUCUGAUUUUACGAUCUCCCGCUGAUGUUAAGACUAUCUUCGAACCCCCAGAAGAGAUCUGACUUCAGACAUAUCAACAACUGGCGCCGCUCAGACUGCUUGCGAGCUCAACAGCCAUGAAACCAGGGAUCAACAACUACCUUCGCGUGCCCUAUGUGUAUAUCACUCGACUCUGAGAUAAACCUGCUCAACUCCUCUUUUUUUGAGUCUCUCGAUCGAAUUGAUAUCUCUGACUUGGACACCUUUAUUUUUUAGACCCAGAUGUGUUAACCUGAUCCCUGCGAAACACCAGCUCUGCGUGGAUUUUGACCGCGAGUGACCGGAUGUUGUUUCCGGCCUGAGGUUGCCUGAAAUGCCGUGAGGCUCGUUUGAAAGAUUGCGCCCGAGACCAACUCCGCCUCCAAGGCAUGCCUACCUUUAGCUGCCACCAGUGAGAUAUCAGAGCCGGGCUCCACAUAUCCAAUCAGGAGCACGAGCAAGACAGCUUUUGCAGACUCUCCAGAAAUAUACAAGUCCUUACCAACUGCUCUGCAACCCAGUGUUUCUGGUCCCCUCACUAACAUCGCUUUUUGAGAUAUUUUUUAUGAACCACCAAAAAAGCAAUUUUACCCCACAGACUGGGUCUGAGGGCAGCAGCGGGGACAAAUGAUUGUAAUGAAGCGACG